UACACAGAGCACCGGGAGGAAGCUGGACGACACAGCCCAGCCAGAGGGACUUGGGGCCGCCCUCCGACUUGUGCUUGCCCUGCCUCCACGCCACUGACCUGCCUCCUCCCAACCCCUCUGCCACCAAGUGGACUCUCUCCAGGGUGAAAGCAGAGGACUGUGGACAAGCCCAGGCUUCCUGACUGCAGACUAUGAAAUGGAGCAAACAAAAUGCAAAUCUUUGGGGUCAGGGAACAGGGAUGCAGGAGCAGAAAACAAACCUAACACAAACAGCCUGAAUUUCGACAUCUCCUGCCUGGUGGAGCUGUGGAAACCAGUAAUUCCCCUGGACAGGAAGGAUUUCCGGUUGGACUUAAUGCCCACGUCCAGAGGCGGCCAGCUGCUGAGGGGCCCAGGAGAGAGCAGAGUCCAUUAGAGAAGGGACAUGGGGGACCCAAGAGGAUGGCCCAGUUCUGGGAGGAAGCUGAGGCCCCAUAGGAAAGGUGUCUCCUGGGGUCACCCGUGGACAUGUGGUAGAACCAGGAUUUGAACUUUUCGAGGUCUCCCUUCCCACUGCAGUGUUUCAGAGACAGAUCUGGGACUGACCUCCAGUUAGCAACCCAAACUCAGAAUUGCCAAGGUGGGACAAGGAGUGAAGGCCCCAAGAGCUGGGGUGACCUUGAAGAACAAGAAGACMAAGAAGGAAGAGAAGGAGUAGGAGGGCAGCUCUGAUCAUGAUGGUUAUAGGGUCAUAUAGAGCCCCCUGUGUUGGUCCCUGACAUAGAGCAGAAAACCAGACCAAUACCCAGGCCAGAGAGGUAGAUUUGUAGGGCCCACCCACCACAGCACCAGAUCCCAAUGGGGGCUCAGUGUCCUCAGGCACUUAGGGAAAUCGGGACAUCCUGAGGUCUGCAGUGGACAGCCAGGCUGCUCCCGCCCACAGCACAGCAGUGACCACUCUGCCCUGAGGUGGGAACCACUGUGGUAUGGCGGUUCCUCACGCCAGGAGGCUGUGUCUAGAUGGCCAUCCAGACUUUCUGGCCUCAUGCAAUCCCACAGGAGCCCAGGGAGGGGAUAAUAUGUCUAGGGCAGGUGGAGAAACUGAGGCUGGCGAAGCCCCUGACAUCCAAGCCCUACAACCUCUGCUCCACUCUCCGACCUCCACGGUGUGCUGUUUCUGAACCUGACAAGGGGGGCUGAGUGAAUGUCUAUGAGCCCAUUCGGUCUUCCAUGAACUGCCACCUCUGGGCCCUUCAUCCUCAGGACUAGGCCUGGUGCCUGGCUAGGGCCAGCCCUUCAUGGGCUGAGCCGACAGGCCCCACCUGCCCUCAGACUUCCUGACCCUGGCUCCCCAGGGCCUGGAAAACCCGGGGCCAGGCAUCCAAAGGAUGGCUGUCCUUCAAGCUGUCAUCCUCCCGGGGUGUCUGGGAGCAGGGACAAGGGCAGGGAGGGGCCAAAAGGAAGUGGGGUAGUGGCUGAGGGUAGGCUCCCCUCUCAGUCAGGCGUUCUGGCUGUUCCCCAGAGCUCUGGCCUGAGCCAGGAACAGCCUGUCCUCAGCUCAARGGCCCCUCCAACACCGCCCCCACCAUUGAUCCUAAGGCUGGAUUCCCAGCAGAGAGGUUAGAAGCACUUCCCUGCCCCCACCCRACCCACUCGCGGGUGCACACACACGUUCGCCUUCUCCCCCACUAGUACACAACUGACACCAUCGCACACGCAAACAYGCAUUCACAGACACCUCACAAGCCCAGCUGCAGCAGGUGGAGUGCCUGGGGCUGCCUCUGAGGCCAGCUAGGCUCUGCUGAGGGCGGGGUCUGCAGCCCAGGCCCCCAGCCUCUACCCCUCCCUUGUCCCCUCUUGGCCAACGCUCACUUUAGGGAUGAGGAAUCACUAUAGGGAGAUCAGCUUCCUGUGAACCUGCCCACCUCCUCCCCCACAGGCCUCUGUCCCUCACCGGAAACGGAGGAGCCAGGUAGGCCAGAGAGGCCAACCAAGCCUCGGCCCAACACAGCGAGCAAAAUCCUGUGCUCCUACUUCACACACUGGAAGGAAUUCAGGUUCUGUGAGGUGUGAUAACGACACUGGGAUCCCAUAAGAAAAGUCCAGGACAACACCUGGGCUUUGUUUUCAAACAAUCCAGAAUGGCGGGGGUGGCGGCGCGGACAGGGGGUGCUGUUGAAAUGAGACUGGCCAGCUGCUGAGGAGCACGGCUGGGAACUGGAACUGCAGUACUUGAUGCUCUGCUCUCCUCUGUGUCUUUUCCACACCUGAGCAGGAGAUGAGCUCACAGGAGGAAACUGAGAUUCAGAGAGGUUGAGUGACUUGCUUAAGGUCACAGAACUGGCAAGGAGCAGAGCCCACAUUCUCCUCCCAAAGCUACCCCCCUUCCCAAGUCCCUGCCUCCAGGGGACAGAGGUACAGAGUCCGAUCCCCCUCUCCUGCUGCUUCCUGCAACUCCCACGCAGCCCAUGGGUCAGCAGCCUUACCCCAGCCCCCUCUGCCUGCCCUGGCCCCCUGGCUCUGCCCAUCAUAGCCUGGCRGCCUCCCUGGGCAUCAUCUAGUACAGGCCCAUGUUUCAUGGAGACCUGGAUAGAAGCCAGAACCCAGGCCCAGUCCUUCAAGAAGCACCCAACUUUCUUGCCAUUUCUAUCCUUGGAAAGCUCCCAGGAGCCCCUCAGGGGUAGGGGCAGCUCUGUCCAUCUCUUCUGUGCCCAGAGCGAGCAAGACAAGUUGGCACCUGUGUCUUCUCUCCACGGACAUGUUUCUCCUUCCUCCUCCUGGAGCCCUGAAGUGCGUCCAGUUGCCCUCCCACUUCUCCCUCUUGGACAAGAAGCCUCCAGACCUCAAAGCCAGGAGCUGAGCAKCGUCCCCUCUACCACCUUCUCUCCAUCCCCCCUCCCUGUUCUGGUCACUAAGCUGAGCCCAGCUCCACAGCCCCUCUGCACCCAGCUCCUGCAUCUGGUUGGACAAUUUGGGGUUCAAAUCCUGCCUUGUAAAUCCAGGACCAUGGCAUCUGCUGUGACCUGUCUCCACCUCCCUACCCUCAUCCUGGGUGGGACACUAGGUCACCUGCCUGACUCAGUUUCCUCCCUUGUUAAUGGGAAUGAGAAUGCUCACCUACCUACCAGAGGGUUGUGGCCAAGAUUAAACUGCAUAAGGCAGACAGGAGCUUGGCACAUGGGGCACACUCAAGAACUGUUAGCCACUGUGCUCAUCAAAGAGGURGUGAUGGCCACCUGGGGCCCCUGGAUUUCUCUCUCGGCCUCCUCCCAUCCACUUCUUGAGCCAUGCGCUCUAAAACCUGCGUCCUGACAGGCUACAGGACCAUGCCCACACCUUGCCUCAGAGCAGGAACUUGGAUCUGUUGAUUGUCCUUGGCCUACCGGCCACUUCCCUCCCUUCCCCAAGUACCCACAUUCUGUUAGUCCAAUUCUUUUGACUGGGCUUCUGCCCCAGUUCUGUUGUACUGUGGCAAAAGGCCCUUGCCAGGCACAUAAAUUUCUAGUCCUCCUUUUCCUGGGAACCUGACCAUAGUCCUGCAUCAAGGUGCAGACCACUUUWUAUGGCCUGCACCCCCUGCACAAACUAGCUAGCCCCAAAUUCUCUUCCCUGUGCUUUCCUUUUGCACCCAUCAGCUGGUCCCCUUCUGCCCUCUGGUGUCAAAACUUGAGAACUACAACUGUUUGCUGGCUGGCAAACCUGUACUGCAUAGGAGAUAAAUGGGGAUUUUUUUUUUUUCCUUUCCCCCAAAUCCCAAGUGAGUCCUGAUCUCCUUAGGCCUCAAGCUUGAGUAAAAUUUCAAGUGGUAAUAUCGUGCUUUCUCCCAWUGAAUGUAAAAACAAUGCAUGCACAAUAUGAAGUGAAAACAACAAAGAUAGGCAGAAAGAUGUGAACACCCCAGUAGUACAUCAUUGUUUGUAAAAGUCAAUCUUUUUUUUUUUCUUAAUCACCUUUCUGUUUGGCAUGGUGGAAAGAUCUGGAAUCAGAAGAGCCAGCGUUUGAUCUGGCGGCUGUUAGAGGGUCAGUUCACAUCCCUCUGCCCCUCAGGUCUUAGUUCCCCCAUUGAUCUAAACUUUCAGGACAUUGGGUUCCAGCUAGAACUCUUUACUCGGGCCCUCCUGACCUGCGAUUAAGUCUGGAGUGGACAGAGCCCACAGGCUGCCUGGAGUCAUCCAUGUAGUACGUCUGAGAGCCUGCAAAAUCCCCAGAAGCCUAGGAAUAUAUAUAGUCACAUGCUGCAUAAUUAAUGUCAGUUAACAACACACCACAUAUACAACAAUGGACCCAUAGGAUUAUAUUGCCUCAGGUCCUUGUAACCACCUUAGCUUAUGUAAGUAUACUAUGCGACAUUCACACAAGAAUGCAAUCAUCCUGUGAUGCAGUUCUCAGAACAUGCCCCUUGAAUAACAUGCAUUAUUCAAGGCGUGAUUAUAUAAGCAAUCAUAUACUAAUAUUCCUUGACUUAUGUUAGGGUCAAUUCCAACAGCUCCAUUGUAAGUUGACAGUAUUGUAAUUUGAAAAUGCAUUUGAUACAUUGAAUCUAACAAAUAUCAUAGCUUAGCACCAUGGUAUACUAGAGUACUGGUUGUUUACCCUCCUGCUUGCAGCUCUUGCUGCUAUUGCCCAACAUCACAAGGGAGUGUUGUAUUGCUAGCCCAGAAAAAAUUUCAAAAUUCCAAAUUCUAGUAUGGUUUCUACUGAAUGCAUACUGCUUAUACACCAUUGUUACUCAGAACAUCAUAAGUCAAACUAUCAUAAAUUGAGGACCAUCUGUAAUCAACAAGGAAUUGUCUCUGUAAAAUAAGAGAUCUUAUAACUUGACAACAAAAUCACUAAUUUAAAAACACACAAAGGCUCUGAAUAGACUUUUCUUCAAAAAAUAUAUAUACAAAGGUCCAAUAAGCACGAGAAGACGCUCAACAUCACUAGCCCCUGGGAGGUAUAAAAAACAAAAUCACAAUAAUAAUAUUGUGGUUUAAUAAUGCCACUUUACAUCCACAGGAAAGGCUAGAAUAAAAAAGAUAAUAGUGAGUAUUGGGAGGUGUAUGUAGGGAAUUGGAACCCUCACGCAUUGCUGGUAGAAUUGUAURAUAUAGCURUUUUGGAAAACAGUUUGACAACUCCUAUGAAAGUUAAGAAAGUUAAGAAUAAAGUUACCRUUGGUAUAUAAAACUAUUUUUCACAUUUAAGUAAAAUGUAUGUCUACUUUUUAUAUUUAAAUUAAAAUAUUAUUUGCAAUUAGUCUGUGAUAAGUGAAACAAUAUGUAGUUUACCCCAAAGAAAUCACUAAAAAGUAAGAUGAAGAAUUAAAUCUAAUGAGUCAAUGAGAUAGAAACGGAAUCACUUGGGGGGAAAAAAAAUUAAUCCAAAAGAAGAAAACAGAAGGCAGAUGGGACCAAUAGGUGGGUGACUUAAAUUUACAUAUAUACCAUUACAUAUAAAUGUUCUAAAUAUUUUGUUCAAUGUCAGAUUGGAUCAGACAGUAAUGCUCAAUGCUCUGGUUGUCGGUCCACUGUCUCUUAGCUCUAGAGCCUCCCUUCUUGGCCAUUUGUGACACUGACAGUUCUCCCUUGCCACUUGGAAUAUAUUAGGUUAUAUCAGCAGAGGGCACUGCAGAGAGUCUUCAACAUUUCCAUUUGCUCUUAGGCAUCACACUUUCCCUUUCAAAACAUUGUGUUGUUUGUCUCUUGUUUGGAUCCUGACUACRUAAAACUGACACCAGGAGUGGUCCCACGAGAUAAUCCCCGUAAAAAUGGGAUUUGGAGGUUGGUUUGGUUGUGCCCCUGGACUUGAAGGCAAAGCUGAACUACCUGCCAAUGAGAAAUGGUAUGCUAAUAAUUCCUAGCAUGCAGUGACAUCCAAACUAGUCACAUGUGGCCAAGUGCCAAAAGCAUGUGCCUUCAGAGGCCAGUUGGCUGGAGAUCUUGACCAUUGUGACAGGGAUGAUGACCAUGAAGACUGUGAUGUAGGGUGAAUUCUUUUGUGGCUACUUGAUUGCUUACCAAAUAAAAAUGAAAUACGUUUAUCCUUUAAUUCUCAGUGUAAGUAAUAGUCUGAGAACCAGAAAUCUUCCAUGAUAACUCCAAAAGAUUCUCCAGUUUCUUGUAGACACUGGGCUGAUAUCACGUGAAAUGAAACAAAAACUUAAUUGUGUAGGUUGAUGAAUCACACUAUCAUUUGA